UACGUAGGUGGCAAGCGUUGUCCGGAUUUACUGGGCGUAAAGGAUGCGUAGGCGGACAUUUUAAGUCAGAUGUGAAAUACCCGAGCUUAACUUGGGUGCUGCAUUUGAAACUGGGUGUCUAGAGUGCAGGAGAGGUAAGUGGAAUUCCUAGUGUAGCGGUGAAAUGCGUAGAGAUUAGGAAGAACACCAGUGGCGAAGGCGACUUACUGGACUGUAACUGACGUUGAGGCAUGAAAGCGUGGGGAGCAAACAGG
rnacentral:rRNA from 1 species